rnacentral:rRNA from 1 species
CGAGCGCGAAAGGCUUUCGGGCUGAGUAGAGCGGCGGACGGGUGAGUAACGCGUAGGAAUCUACCUGGUAGUGGGGGACAACUUGGGGAAACUCAAGCUAAUACCGCAUACGCCCCACGGGGGAAAGCGGGGGACCUUCGGGCCUCGCGCUAUCAGAUGAGCCUGCGUAGGAUUAGCUUGUUGGUGAGGUAAAGGCUCACCAAGGCGACGAUCCUUAGCUGGUCUGAGAGGAUGAUCAGCCACACUGGGACUGAGACACGGCCCAGACUCCUACGGGAGGCAGCAGUGGGGAAUAUUGCGCAAUGGGGGCAACCCUGACGCAGCCAUGCCGUGUGUGUGAAGAAGGCCUUCGGGUUGUAAAGCACUUUAAGUGGGGAGAAAAGGGUAGGCGUUAAUAGCGGCUACCUGUGAUGUUACCCACAGAAUAAGCACCGGCUAACUCCGUGCCAGCAGCCGCGGUAAUACGGAGGGUGCGAGCGUUAAUCGGAAUUACUGGGCGUAAAGCGCGCGUAGGCGGUUUGUUAAGUCAGCUGUGAAAGCCCCGGGCUCAACCUGGGAACUGCAGUUGAUACUGGCCGACUAGAGUACGAGAGAGGGAGGUAGAGUUCCAUGUGUAGCGGUGAAAUGCGUAGAUAUAUGGAGGAAUACCAGUGGCGAAGGCGGCCUCCUGGCUCGAUACUGACGCUGAGGUGCGAAAGCGUGGGGAUCAGACAGGAUUAGAUACCCUGUAGUCCACGCCGUAAACGAUGUCUACUAGCCGUUGGGAGACUUGAUUUCUUAGUGGCGCAGCUAACGCAAUAAGUAGACCGCCUGGGGAGUACGGCCGCAAGGUUAAAACUCAAAUGAAUUGACGGGGGCCCGCACAAGCGGUGGAGCAUGUGGUUUAAUUCGAUGCAACGCGAAGAACCUUACCAGGUCUUGACAUCCAGAGAACUUUCCAGAGAUGGAUUGGUGCCUUCGGGAGCUCUGAGACAGGUGCUGCAUGGCUGUCGUCAGCUCGUGUCGUGAGAUGUUGGGUUAAGUCCCGUAACGAGCGCAACCCUUGUCCUUAGUUGCCAGCACGUAAUGGUGGGAACUCUAAGGAGACUGCCGGUGACAAACCGGAGGAAGGUGGGGACGACGUCAAGUCAUCAUGGCCCUUACGACCUGGGCUACACACGUGCUACAAUGGAACGCACAGAGGGCAGCAAAAGCGCGAGCUGGAGCCAAUCCCACAAAACGUUUCGUAGUCCGGAUCGGAGUCUGCAACUCGACUCCGUGAAGUCGGAAUCGCUAGUAAUCGUGGAUCAGAAUGCCACGGUGAAUACGUUCCCGGGCCUUGUACACACCGCCCGUCACACCAUGGGAGUGGGUUGCUCCAGAAGUGGUUAGCCUAACCUUCGGGGGGGCGAUCACCACGGAGUGAUUCAUGACUGGGGUGAAGUCGUAACAAGGUA